UAUUGAAACAGUUGUGGAAGGAAAUCAGCUGGGGGUUGUGCCUUAUUUCAUUCGAGUGUCUGACACAUGAUGAUGCUCAACUUUAUGCGGUUGAUUCCGUUAACAGCAACAUUGCUCGAAUUACUCCCAACCCAAGAUAGUGGGGCAAUAUUAAUUGCGGGGUCCUUAACCAAAUGAUGCUCGUUUUCAUCACCCUAAAGGGAAUGUUUAUGUUGCCGAUACCUCUAAUCUUGCCAUCAGAACAGAAAGAUCACUGAAGCUGCAGGAUGGUUUGCCAUCAACUUCACCUCAUCGCUGGUGUUGUAUAACUUCUUUACUUAAUUUAAUACUGAAUGCUUUAUUGAAGAACAAAUUUAUAGAUAGGUGUGACGACAAGACAAUUGCUGGAGGAAAAUCAAGUGUAGCAGGGUACAGGGAUGGGCCAAGUAAAGAUGCGCAGUUUUCAACUGAUUUUGAUGUAAUUUACGUCAGACCAACCUCUUCUUUGCUAGUUGUUGAUCGCUGAAUUCUCUCAAUCAAGAGGAUUGUGAUUUCCUUGACACCUACCUCUGUUUCUUCCUCAGAUCUUGUUUUGGUAAUAGGUGCCAUCAUCUUGUAUGCAUACUUCAACAAGGAUAUGGUUCAUCAUAUUUCACAAAGAUGGAUAAGGUGGAGAGAGAGUGAUACUAAAAGACCAAACAACGAAAAGUUGACCAAAACUCAAACCGUGGAAACCAGACAGUAAAGAAGAACAAGAAGCAGAGGAUGGCCGUCCUUUAGUCAACUCGUUUUGGAUCUAUCAAAACUUGCUCUCCAAGGUUUUGGUAACAUUUUUGUUCCUUUCAACCUGUUCAAAAAUUCUAAAAAGGGCCUCCCGCCAUUAAAAGACCAUCUCAUAAUGCCUGCAAUAGUUCAAAAGCACCGAACUCCAACCCCGCUUUCAGAAACCCGUCAUGUCUACAACCCGAAUGAGAAAUACCCGGAAAAAACAAAGCCCGUGAAGCUCAGAUCGUCAUCUAGCAUAAAAGAUCCACGCAAGCAUAGCCAUAGAUCUUCGAAAAGAGAAGAAUACGCGGAGUAUUAUGAUGCUAAAGGUGAGGUUAGUCGUGUUCGGUCCAAAACCCAAAAAGAAAGAACAAAGCAUCGGACCAGAGAUAAAGGAGGUGAAGUCGCGUCUGCAGAACAAAAGCCCGUUGACUUUAAACCCAUAAACCUGCAUGUGAUUGGCCAAAUCCAUUCCCUCUUCGGUGUUGAUUUAAGAACGCUUGUGGCCAAAUUUUGUAAAACAACGCCCUUGGGGGCGGAGAACUUGGCGUUGAUGGGCGUUUUAGGGGCAAAAAACGCCCUAAAACUUUACCACUACAGGUGGUUUUACUAUAAUCCGGGGUGUUUGGAUGCACGGCACGGUGAAGAGUAUAAGGAAGCCAAAGCCGUGGGAAUUCCCACGGCCAGUUACCUGGAGCCAGUUGGUGCAGAUGCGUGAUGAGUUUUGGGAUACGGCUCCUCAUCAUGGUGGCAAGAAAGGU